UACGAAGGGGGCUAGCGUUGUUCGGAAUUACUGGGCGUAAAGCGCGCGUAGGCGGCUUUGUAAGUUAGAGGUGAAAGCCCGGGGCUCAACCCCGGAACUGCCUUUAAGACUGCAUCGCUUGAAUCCGGGAGAGGUGAGUGGAAUUCCGAGUGUAGAGGUGAAAUUCGUAGAUAUCUGGAGGAACACCGGUGGCGAAGGCGGCAUUCUGGACCGAUAUUGACGCUGAGGAGCGAAAGCCAGGGGAGCAAACGGG
rnacentral:rRNA from 1 species